rnacentral:rRNA from 1 species
GACGAACGCUGGCGGCGUGCUUAACACAUGCAAGUCGAGCGGUAAGGCCCUUUCGGGGGUACACGAGCGGCGAACGGGUGAGUAACACGUGGGUGACCUGCCCUCAGCUCUGGGAUAAGCCUGGGAAACCGGGUCUAAUACCGGAUAUGACUCCAUGACGCAUGCUGUGGGGUGGAAAGCCUUGUGCGGCUGAGGAUGGGCCCGCGGCCUAUCAGCUUGUUGGUGGGGGAUGGCCUACCAAGGCGACGACGGGUAGCCGGCCUGAGGGGGCGACCGGCCACACUGGGACUGAGACACGGCCCAGACUCCUACGGGAGGCAGCAGUGGGGAAUCUUGCGCAAUGGGCGAAAGCCUGACGCAGCGACGCCGCGUGAGGGAUGACGGCCU